CUCACCAGCACCACGUCAGGAGUCCAAACUCUGUGCUGAAGAGAAAUAUGGACAGACCAGAAGCCAGAAUCUGCACAGAAAAAGACGACAUUUAAUACUCCAAGUUAAUCUCACUGGAAUGAAGACUCGUUUUUACUCAAAGAGAACGAAAGAGGAAAAAAACGCUGACCUUGGCGAGGAACAGCCAGACGGCACAGUGCACCAAAGACGGUCCAGUCUUCAACUUGACCCCGGCCAGCAGCAGAAAAAAGCCCAGAAUCCCGCUACCUGAUCAGGACCAGAUGAUUUUGAUGAUUGGAGAUCUGUGCGAAUUUGAUAUGAGUUACCUGGAGAUUCUGAAGUGUAAGAGUAACAGCUGAUCCCAGUAUCAGGACAGAACUUAAAGCAGAGAAGAAAAGAAGAGAAGAAAAGUUACUCGGAGUGAAGUGGAAAAGAAACACUGCACUCGUCAUCAACACGUCCAACACAAAUAAUCUCUACCUGAUUGUCCUCAUCCACGACAACCUCUUUUAGAAAAUAAACAGAAAAGAAGAAACUA